UACAUGGGGUGCAAACGUUGCUCGGAAUCAUUGGGCGUAAAGCGCGCGUAGGCGGUUACUUAAGUUGGAUGUGAAAGCCCUCGGCUUAACUGAGGAAGUGCAUCCAAAACUGAGUAGCUAGAGUACGAAAGAGGGUCGCGGAAUUCCCGGUGUAGAGGUGGAAUUCGUAGAUAUCGGGAGGAACACCGGUGGCGAAGGCGGCGACCUGGGUCGAGACUGACGCUGAGGCGCGAAAGCGUGGGGAGCAAACAGG
rnacentral:rRNA from 1 species